rnacentral:rRNA from 1 species
GAUGAACGCUGGCGGCGUGCCUAAUACAUGCAAGUCGAGCGAACAGACGAGGAGCUUGCUCCUCUGACGUUAGCGGCGGACGGGUGAGUAACACGUGGAUAACCUACCUAUAAGACUGGGAUAACUUCGGGAAACCGGAGCUAAUACCGGAUAAUAUAUUGAACCGCGUGGUUCAAUAGUGAAAGACGGUUUUGCUGUCACUUAUAGAUGGAUCCGCGCCGCAUUAGCUAGUUGGUAAGGUAACGGCUUACCAAGGCAACGAUGCGUAGCCGACCUGAGAGGGUGAUCGGCCACACUGGAACUGAGACCCGGUCCAGACUCCUACGGGAGGCAGCAGUAGGGAAUCUUCCGCAAUGGGCGAAAGCCUGACGGAGCAACGCCGCGUGAGUGAUGAAGGUCUUCGGAUCGUAAAACUCUGUUAUUAGGGAAGAACAAAUGUGUAAGUAACUAUGCACGUCUUGACGGUACCUAAUCAGAAAGCCACGGCUAACUACGUG